AGAGUUUGAUCCUGGCUCAGGAUGAACGCUAGCUACAGGCUUAACACAUGCAAGUCGAGGGGCAGCAUUUCAGUUUGCUUGCAAACUGAAGAUGGCGACCGGCGCACGGGUGAGUAACACGUAUCCAACCUGCCGAUAACUCGGGGAUAGCCUUUCGAAAGAAAGAUUAAUACCGGAUGGCAUAUGAUUAUCGCAUGAUAAUCCUAUUAAAGAAUUUCGGUUAUCGAUGGGGAUGCGUUCCAUUAGUUUGUUGGCGGGGUAACGGCCCACCAAGACUACGAUGGAUAGGGGUUCUGAGAGGAAGGUCCCCCACAUUGGAACUGAGACACGGUCCAAACUCCUACGGGAGGCAGCAGUGAGGAAUAUUGGUCAAUGGGCGAGAGCCUGAACCAGCCAAGUAGCGUGAAGGAUGACUGCCCUAUGGGUUGUAAACUUCUUUUAUAAAGGAAUAAAGUCGGGUAUGGAUACCCGUUUGCAUGUACUUUAUGAAUAAGGAUCGGCUAACUCCGUGCCAGCAGCCGCGGUAAUACGGAGGAUCCGAGCGUUAUCCGGAUUUAUUGGGUUUAAAGGGAGCGUAGAUGGAUGUUUAAGUCAGUUGUGAAAGUUUGCGGCUCAACCGUAAAAUUGCAGUUGAUACUGGAUAUCUUGAGUGCAGUUGAGGCAGGCGGAAUUCGUGGUGUAGCGGUGAAAUGCUUAGAUAUCACGAAGAACUCCGAUUGCGAAGGCAGCCUGCUGGACUGUAACUGACGCUGAUGCUCGAAAGUGUGGGUAUCAAACAGGAUUAGAUACCCUGGUAGUCCACACGGUAAACGAUGAAUACUCGCUGUUUGCGAUAUACAGUAAGCGGCCAAGCGAAAGCAUUAAGUAUUCCACCUGGGGAGUACGCCGGCAACGGUGAAACUCAAAGGAAUUGACGGGGGCCCGCACAAGCGGAGGAACAUGUGGUUUAA
rnacentral:rRNA from 1 species